GAUCCUGGCUCAGGAUGAACGCUGGCGGCGUGCUUAACACAUGCAAGUCGAGCGAAGCAAUCUAAGUGAAGUUUUCGGAUGGAUUUUAGAUUGACUGAGCGGCGGACGGGUGAGUAACGCGUGGAUAACCUGCCUCACACAGGGGGAUAACAGUUAGAAAUGACUGCUAAUACCGCAUAAGCGCACGGUUCCGCAUGGAACAGUGUGAAAAACUCCGGUGGUGUGAGAUGGACCCG
rnacentral:rRNA from 1 species